UGGCGGGGGGGAGCACAGCACAGCCCCGCCCGUCAGCGCGAGGCUCGCGCCGUCAGCGCCCCGCGCCGGGCGGCCUGAGGCGGGCGAGUGUGUCGGGGCGAGAGGCGAGCGCUGGGCGUGAGAGAGGAAAAGGGAGGGACGGCCGAGGAGCCGGGGGAUGCGGUGCGCUGGGCUGACGCCUCGAGUAUUUGCUGUCUCUUUUAGAAAUCCCAAGAGAACCUAUGAGUUAUCAGAAAAUGGAUGACUGAGUACUCUCUAGAGGCAGACUUCAGUUGAGGAAAAUUCCAAGUUAUGGAGAACAGGUAUCAGUGAACAUAAACAAUAAUGCUGCGCGGAGAAGAGAGUUGGGAUUACUCAAGGCUCACAUAAAUACAUAUGUUCUGCAGUAUCAUCCCAAUAUCAGCCAGAUGAGCACAGCUGCAUCCUGGAGAAGUACCUGGAGCAAGGACUGAAAGGCAUAUGAUUCAGCAAAUGCAGUUUUCUCACCUGCAGACAGACUGGACUAUAUUGCAUUGAUCAGAUGAGAUGAAGAUGAUCCAGAGGUCUGGGAAUUUUCUAACUAUAUUUUGCUGCUGUGAAGAGCUAGACAUUUCUUGUCAGGACAUAUCUUGUCAGAUACUCCGAGUUAGAGCCCCAAACACAGAGCCGCCUGCCUGCCACAACCCUGUUUACAAAGAAGGUGAAUUUUUAGAUACAAGGAAAUGGAAAAAAUAUCAAAGUUGAGAAGUCCUAGAAUAUGACUGUGGUGAUGACCCUUGCAAAAACUGGGAUGUCAGACAACUCUGCAUAGGAUGCUGUUUCUCUGGGUAUUCUGGGAACUAAAUUCAAAAGACCUGUGCUUAGCACUGUGUCCAGGGUUUCCCUCACAACAGAAGACUUUGAGAAGCUGGGGCACCAGUUCAGGAAAAGUUGGCUUCUGUGACAUCUGUUAUAGGCGUGAGACUAUGAAUUUCAUCCAUUACUUCCAACAUCUGGGCUUUGUGCAGAUGGCCGAUAGGGUUCUACUCUUUCUUGGCUACAGAUGAAAGAUUAAACACUGUUUGUGAAGUUUAACCUUCCACUGUAGGAUGCUCUGACUUCCAGAAUAAUACAUUCUUCUAGUGUGUGCUUCAGACUGAGCAAUGGAUGAAAGUAGAAUGAGUUCAGAGAAGAUGGAGAAGUAGCCCUUCGUCCUGAAGCUGGAACUAUGGCUUUUCAUAACCUUGGAAGUCUCCCUGCGGUAGGAUAAAAUGGUAUUACAGAUGGACUGCUAAUGUCUUUGGUGAUGUGGUUGUUGGCAACAUACAGAAACAUAAACGUUUUCUUAAGAACAUCUUCAUAACUUUGAAGAAUGCUCCUUGCCUUUAAGACAUACAAACCUAAUGUUUCCCUAUAAGUAAGCAAAGAAACCAUUUUAUGUAUAUUUCUGUAUAUUUUUUUGGCAAUAUUUUCACACAAUGUUUUAGGAUUUAUAUGUUGUUAGGAGAUAUGGCAUCUGCGUGAAAUCUGUAUUUAUGAUAAAUUUAAGAUGUGCAUCUCUGAACGUUUCUCUCUGUGUGUCAGUUGGUAAAUUUUCUUCAUUUGUAUUAGGGAGGUAUUUCAGUUGUAUGAUCAAAAUUUGCUGAACUGUGGUUUAUAGCAGACAAUUAACAGCUGUUAAAUAGGAUUAUUGCAGGCUGUUAUCUUCAUGUAGCAUCUGAUUCAAAUGCUAAUUUCACUCAAUUUACUGCUCAUAAGGCCACCCUACUGCCAGGUACACUGUACUCAUGAUGAAUAACAAAAUAUAUCUGAAAAGAAUAUAACCUAUUUAAAAUACCUAUCAGUAGAUUUUAUGGCCUGGUUUGCAGCUCCUUGACACAGGUCAGAAUUCAAGAGUGGAGUGUUACAUGUAUGAAGAAGAGGUAGAGUCAAGCCUAGCCCAACAGUAUUGUGCAAAAAUUACAUUUCCUAUUGUUUUUUUGGCUAUGAUUAUAAAUUUAAUUUUGGUAAUGAAAACAAAUCAUGCUUUUCAUGUUAUGAGUGUUUCAGCUCUUGAAGAAUGCCAUUCAUGCUGGGAGACAUGCUAGAAUAAGAGUCAUAUUUGAGUGAUGUGCCGCGUCUAAAUGAUGUAUAACUGAAGAACUACAGCUUAAAAUUCAAAGUAUACCUUUGUCAUGCAAAGUUAACUAUCAUUUCCUUCUCCUUAUCAACCUUUUUCUCCUCCCAUAUUUCAGAUAUGGCCAACAGUAGAUGCUUCGCUCUUUCCAGAUUAACCUCAGGAUGAAAUAAUUUUCUGAAUUUUGCUGUUGGGACAAUGUUGUCAUGGGAAUGCAGUAUUCUCCUUCCUGAUCUUUACUGUGUAUUUCCAUUGUCAGCUUUCAGCUGGCAGUAGCAGUCAUACAUAUUGAUCCCAUAUGACAAGAAAAUAACGUCUCAGAAGGUCACUUCUGGUGAAAUAGGUCCCUGCCUUAGGUCUCUGCAGCCACAAUGUAGUCAACAAGAAUGUAUAGUGGACACUGAGAUUGCUGUUUUGGAACUAUAAAGGCUUAGACUGGCCCCUCAGAACCACCUGGAAAGCUGUACCCUUAAGCUGUAGUUUCUCAUUAAAUUUUGUUUCAUCUUUACAGCUGGCAUAUAUGGCCCCUUGGUACCCACACUAAGAUCUCAGCAAUUGUUCUUUGAAUGCUCCUACACAAAGGGGUGCUGAGUAUUUUAAAGGAAAGUUUGCUACGUUUAUGCAGAAAUAUUAUAUAUAAACAAUUUUUAUUCUUACCUCUAAUGCUCAUGAAGGCAACAAGAUACUUUUAAAAUAUACUUCUCUUAUUUCGACUUCUGUGCUGUUGUCACUGUUGUUUGGUAAAUUUCUACAUUUACAGUUUAGUUGAUACUGUCAAAUGUUGCAUGAGGAGAAUUUUAACUACUGUCUGAUUAUGAACAAAAGUAAGAAAAAAAAUUUGCCCUGCACUUUGUUUUACUGUUUCACAAUGUCUAUAGAGAAAAUAAUCUUUCAUGUUUAAACAAACAAAUAAAAAGGGGUGUAUAAAGUAAUAAGCUUACUGCUACUGCAGUGAAAGGCCAUGUAAUAAAAUAGAGUUAUAUUAUCAGCAGAAGAAUUAGACUGAAUAGAACAUAUUAGCAACUUGUAAGGUAUAUAUUAGAUGUUCUAUAGUUAAAGUUUAGACUUGCCUUUCUAACUAAAUCCUUAACAAUAGUUACAGUAAGUGAAAAUAUUAAACUUAAUUUUAUUUUCAGCUCAGAGACCUACAAAACUACAGCAAUAUUCUUUCAUGUAAUGAUUCUCAGAUUCUUCCAAAGUUUUAUUUAAGUGAGUCACAACAGGGGAAAUUAAAAGCUUACCUCGAUGCAUAAAAUAGUAAUAAAAAUUGAAUGAAGUAUCACUGGAAAGUGUCAAACAUCUCCAGUUUAAAUAAAUGUAAUCAAUCACACCAGCAUGACAUUUUCUUCACCACAUAGGCAGCAAUGCAUUGUUCUUAAUUACAUCCAGAUUUGUAACAGGAAAAUUAAUGACUAAAGAAUUAGACUUGCUAUUUAAUGCUCAGAAAGUCUUAUUAGGAUAAAGGGUUUAAGAUCAUCUUGUUUUCAUAUGGGUCGAGUUUUAUUGUGGUCUUGUGCCAGUGUGUCUUAUACUUGCGUUAAAAACAGUGUUCAUCCAUUUUCAGUACAAUAGUAAGUAAAACUUCUAUUAUUUUGUUUGAAAUGAAACAUAACAAGGGAUGAUAAACGUAUGGCUGUCUGAUUAUAACUACUAUGAAAGUAAUAUAUUCAAUGUACAGUUUUGCAGAAAUAAAUUUAAUUUCUCACUUGCUCUGCAGAGUAACGAAGUUAUGUUAAAUAAAAAUUACUUAUAAGUAGUCUGUGGUUUAGAGGACAUAAAUAAUCAUAUGUUUUAAGAUUGUGCCACUUGUUAGGCACAAGAGGUAGGUAAAUUGUUAUUAAACCAGUAA